UACGUAGGGUGCGAGCGUUGUCCGGAAUUAUUGGGCGUAAAGAGCUCGUAGGCGGUGUGUCGCGUCGGUCGUGAAAACUUGGGGCUUAACCCUGAGCUUGCGGUCGAUACGGGCAUCACUGGAGUUCGGCAGGGGAGACUGGAAUUCCUGGUGUAGCGGUGAAAUGCGCAGAUAUCAGGAGGAACACCGGUGGCGAAGGCGGGUCUCUGGGCCGAUACUGACGCUGAGAGACGAAAGCUAGGGGAGCGAAUGGG
rnacentral:rRNA from 1 species